rnacentral:rRNA from 1 species
UACGUAGGUGGCAAGCGUUGUCCGGAUUUACUGGGCGUAAAGAGCGCGCAGGCGGUCCGCUAAGUCGAAUGUGAAAGCCCCCGGCUCAACUGGGGAGGGUCAUUCGAUACUGUUCGACUCGAAGGCAGGAGAGGGAAGUGGAAUUCCCGGUGUAGUGGUGAAAUGCGUAGAUAUCGGGAGGAACACCAGUGGCGAAGGCGACUUCCUGGCCUGUUCUUGACGCUGAGGCGCGAAAGCUAGGGGAGCAAACGGG